UCUCCGUUGGUGAACCAGCGGAGGGAUCAUUACAGGACUCGCAAGACUCCUACAACCCUGUGAACUUAACUAUAAGCACGUUGCUUCGGCGGGUGUCUCGGAGGGGGUUCUCCCUCCCCGAGACGCUAAACCCGCCGGCAGCCUACUAUACUCUGUCUCUUUGCGUUGGCAUCUCGAGUACAAUCAAACAAGUUAAAACUUUCAACAACGGAUCUCUUGGCUCUG
rnacentral:misc_RNA from 1 species